CGGCCCCUGGACAAGACUGACGCUCAGGUGCGAAGCGUGGGGAGCAAACAGGAUUAGAUACCUGGUAGUCACGCUGUAAACGAUGUCGAUUUGGAGGUUGUUCCCUUGAGGAGUGGCUUCCGGAGCUAACGCGUUAAAUCGACCGCUGGGGAGUACGGCCGCAAGGUUAAAACUCAAAUGAAUUGACGGGGGCCCGCACAAGCGGUGGAGCAUGUGGUUUAAUUCGAUGCAACGCGAAGAACCUUACCUACUCUUGACAUCCAGAGAAUUUAGCAGAGAUGCUUUAGUGCCUUCGGGAACUCUGAGACAGGUGCUGCAUGGCUGUCGUCAGCUCGUGUUGUGAAAUGUUGGGUUAAGUCCCGCAACGAGCGCAACCCUUAUCCUUUGUUGCCAGCACAUUAUGGUGGGAACUCAAAGGAGACUGCCGGUGAUAAACCGGAGGAAGGUGGGGAUGACGUCAAGUCAUCAUGGCCCUUACGAGUAGGGCUACACACGUGCUACAAUGGCGUAUACAAAGAGAAGCGACCUCGCGAGAGCAAGCGGAACUCAUAAAGUACGUCGUAGUCCGGAUUGGAGUCUGCAACUCGACUCCAUGAAGUCGGAAUCGCUAGUAAUCGUAGAUCAGAAUGCUACGGUAAAUACGUUCCCGGGCCUUGUACACACCGCCCGUCACACCAUGGGAGUGGGUUGCAAAAGAAGUAGGUAGCUUAACCUUCGGGAGGGCGCUUACCACUUUGUGAUUCAUGACUGGGGUGAAGUCGUAACAAGGUAACCA
rnacentral:rRNA from 1 species